AGAGUUUGAUCCUGGCUCAGAUUGAACGCUGGCGGCAUGCCUUACACAUGCAAGUCGAACGGUAGAGGGGCAACCCUUGAGAGGGGCGAACGGGUGAGUAAUAUAUCGGAACGUGCCCAGUCGUGGGGGAUAACGCAGCGAAAGCUGCGCUAAUACCGCAUACGAUCUAUGGAUGAAAGCGGGGGAUCGCAAGACCUCGCGCGAUUGGAGCGGCCGAUAUCAGAUUAGGUAGUUGGUGGGGUAAAAGCCCACCAAGCCGACGAUCUGUAGCUGGUCUGAGAGGACGACCAGCCACACUGGGACUGAGACACGGCCCAGACUCCUACGGGAGGCAGCAGUGGGGAAUUUUGGACAAUGGGCGCAAGCCUGAUCCAGCAAUGCCGCGUGCAGGACGAAGGCCUUCGGGUUGUAAACUGCUUUUGUACGGAGCGAAACGGUCUGGGUUAAUACCCUGGGCUAAUGACGGUACCGUAAGAAUAAGCACCGGCUAACUACGUGCCAGCCGCCGCGGUAAUUC
rnacentral:rRNA from 1 species